CUGUGGUGGCGGCGAUGAUCUGUAUUAUAAUUUAUAUCAGCGUUGAGUUUAGGUCGUUCGUACAAUCGUACACCUGCGUUCAGGGCGAAUAUAAGUCCCCACAUGACACAUACAUACAUAAUAUGUAGGCAUAUGGCAGGUUCAAAAAAUAUAUAUUCUUACACACAAUAACAAAACUUUCAUACUAGAACAAAUUCAGAAUCAGGGCAGACAAACUAAAUAUAUAGUUAUUG